rnacentral:rRNA from 1 species
GACGAACCGUGCGAACGUUAUUCGGAAUCACUGGGCUUAAAGCGCGUGUAGGCGGCCCUGCAAGUCGGGUGUGAAAUCCCACGGCUCAACCGUGGAAGUGCACUCGAAACUGCAGGGCUAGAGUCCUGGAGAGGAAGGCGGAAUGCUUGGUGUAGAGGUGAAAUUCGUAGAUAUCAAGCGGAACACCGGUGGCGAAGGCGGCCUUCUGGACAGUGACUGACGCUGAGACGCGAAAGCGUGGGGAGCAAACAGG